GGAUGGAUGGCUGAGUCUGGUCGAAGGCACCGGUUUUGAAAACCGGCGAUGGGGCAACCUAUCCGGGGGUUCGAAUCCCUCUCCAUCCG
rnacentral:tRNA from 1 species